AGCAGCCGCGGUAAUUCCAGCUCCAAUAGCGUAUAUUAAAGUUGUUGCAGUUAAAAAGCUCGUAGUUGAAUUUCGGGAUUAGUAAGUUGGUCAUGCCUUUGGUAUGUACUGGUUUCACUGAUUCCUCCCUCUUGAUGAACUGUUAUGUCAUUAAUUUGGUGUUUCAGGGAAUCAGGACUGUUACUUUGAAAAAAUUGAGUGUUUAAAGCAGGCUAACGCUUGAAUACAUUAGCAUGGAAUAAUGAAAUAGGACGUUCGAUCCUAUUUUGUUGGUUUCUAGGAUUGACGUAAUGAUUAAUAGGGAUAGUUGGGGGCAUUAAUAUUCAAUUGUCAGAGGUGAAAUUCUUGGAUUUAUUGAAGACUAACUACUGCGAAAGCAUUUGCCAAGGAUGUUUUCAUUAAUCAAGAACGAAAGUUAGGGAUGAAGACGAUCAGAUACCGUCGUAGUCCUAACCAUAAACUAUGCCGACUAGGGAUCGGAUGAUGUAUUUUCAAUGA
rnacentral:rRNA from 1 species